UGUUGUUACAGGUUUCCCAGGUUGGCAUCGGGUCUUCAUUCCCCCAAUGACUUCGUUGCCAGCCUUCUCAUAAGGACUCACUUCAUGUUCAAAGAUUACAGUGAUGGUCUGAAAUCUUCUUGUACCAGACACAUAUCUGGUUGCCUUCUGUUCCAUCAUUUAGAAUUAACACCAACACAGAGGUUGCUCUUCAGCCAGUCACAGAAGAGGUGGUGGUCCCAUCCACCAAUUGGGUGACAGAUGAGAAGGAAGUGUUGGAACACAAUGGGACAGAACGAUCCGUGAGUCCACCGGGAAGAGACGAAGAAGGUUUUCCAGAAUUGGCUGUUUGUCAUUUGGAAGAAGAGGAGGAAGAGGAGGACAUGUUGAAGAGAAUGAAGAACAGGA
ensembl:lncRNA